rnacentral:lncRNA from 1 species
GACCCUAGCUCUGAGGGGGAGAGGGGAGGUAGUUCCUCACUGUGGGGUUGCCUAGAUGGCUAGAUGUGUGUGAGUGCUUAUGAAUAGAGGAAGCGACCAGGAGAAUGAAGCAGGCCAGUUGCAGGCUGCUUUGCUGCCAACUGUACGAGCUAGCAGCUAGGCAGGGUCCAGGCCACCGGGUCAUUACUGGGAAAUGGAGGGGAGUAUAUACACAGGGCUAGCAGACUGUUUUCUUGUGGCUCCACCCCUGCAAGGUAAUAUGUCGAUAAGCUAUACAUAUUAGACACGAUCUUUUGGAUCUUUCUCUCACGUGCAACUAUGCCCUCACUCAAUGGAGAACUCGUACGUGAUGGUAAAGACAACCUUCCCAUGGUGGUUGGCAUGCACUGAUAGUUGGUUUUUACUCAUAACUCUAAGGUCCCGUUUGGAUGCUUUUGAAUUCCAUUCUAACAAUCAUAAUUUAGGCACAAAUUAAUUAAGCUAAUAUAAUUAUAUGUGGAAUAUAUUUGUAUAUUAAUGUUGGCGAUAUGGGAGAGAUACUUAUGUGCUGCACUUCUACUAUAGAGAAGCGAGUCCAAGAGCGUGCUAUAAGAACUGAAUUCCAUUGUAAUAAUCAUAAUCUAUAGAAUCC